AAGGCCUCAAUAUCAAAGGGUCAAUAACAUUUGUAGGAUUUGCGGCGGCGGGACUAUAGUCAUUAACUAAUUACUUUAUAUCAGAUUUUAAUGGAGAGUGGUAAAAUGCCCGCACGACUGUUGACUUUCAUUGUAAUUGCCUGAGCUGGUUCCUGGCGGCCGCCUCAGAUUGCAGGAUGGUGUCAAGUAUCUUGACCUGACAGGAAGGCUUUCUGGUUAUGACUGAGGCCGGCAUCUCACCUGUCCUGGCUACGCCAAAUCACUGCGGAUGCCGGAUGCCGAGGACCGAAGAGCCAACCGCUUUGAGGCGUGAGCUCUAUGGCGUGGCUCGAGUGAUCACCAUCUUCUGACGGCUACGGCGCCGUCGACCUGGUUGAAUAGCUGGGGCCUGGACGAGGGUGCCCUUAGUACGGUGGCCAAUCGGUUACGUCCGAGGGGCGCUCGAACACGCUGCCGUCGCGUGGCUGCCGGCGGCCGCCCCCUCGCACGUGAAUCUCCUGGAGCGAGGACUGCAAGAGGCGGACGCAUCAUCACCUGUGUCCGCGCUCAACACCGUGCCACGCACUAAUGGCGGAAGCCCGACUUUCUUCGAUGGAGGAGAGAAGCUGGACGCUCGCUGCCAGGCUGCUGGGGAGGGCGCUGGCUCUGCCAUCAGGGGAGGGGGACCCCCUGCGCGCGACCGCCGAGGCCUCGACACCGGCGCGCCUGUCUUCUGUCCGAGGCUGGAGAUUGCGAGGCCGCCAGGCCUGGGCGAGAGCGAGAAUCCCACCGUGGCAACAGACGGCUGGCGUCACCUUCCGGUUGGACUGUGCCCGAUCCGGGCUGGGGCCACGGCGGCGGAAAGGAAA